UACGGGGGGAGCAAGCGUUGUUCGGAUUUACUGGGCGUAAAGGGCGCGUAGGCGGUCAGCACAAGUCAGUUGUGAAAUCUCCGGGCUUAACUCGGAAAGGUCAACUGAUACUGUGCGACUAGAGUGCAGAAGGGGCAACUGGAAUUCUCGGUGUAGCGGUGGAAUGCGUAGAGAUCGGGAAGAACAUCAGUGGCGAAGGCGGUCUGCUGGGCCGUUGCUGACGCUGAGGCGCGACAGCGUGGGGAGCAAACAGG
rnacentral:rRNA from 1 species